GACGAACGCUGGCGGCGUGCUUAACACAUGCAAGUCGAACGAUGACGCAGAGACACGCGAACUUCGGUUCAAAUUUCACUUCGGCUUAGUGGCAGACGGGUGCGUACCGCGUGAGCAACCUACCUCUUACAAAGGGAUAGCCUCGGGAAACCGUUAUUAAUACCCUAUGACACAUUCAUAAAGCCUCUUACGAAUUUUAAAUCUACGGCGGUAAGAGAUGGGCUCGCGUCCCAUUAACUAGUUCGUGAGGUAAAGGCCCACCAAGGCGACAAUGGUCAAACGGGCAGAGAGAGAGAACGGUGACAUUGAAACGAAGACACGGUCGAAACUCUUACGGGAGGCAGCAAUGGGGAAUAUAGCACAACGGAGUGAACGCUGAAGCAGCGACGCUGGGUGAGCGAUGAAGGAAUGCGAGUCGUAAAGCUCUGUUAUAUGGGAAGAAAAGGACGGUACCAUAGGAGAAAGCCCCGGCUAAAUACGUG
rnacentral:rRNA from 1 species